rnacentral:rRNA from 1 species
CGGCAAUGGGGGGAACCCUGACCGAGCAACGCCGCGUGAGUGAAGAAGGUUUUCGGAUCGUAAAGCUCUGUUGUUAAGGAAGAACGAGUGUGAGAAUGGAAAGUUCAUACUGUGACGGUACUUAACCAGAAAGGGACGGCUAACUACGUGCCAGCAGCCGCGGUAAUACGUAGGUCCCGAGCGUUGUCCGGAUUUAUUGGGCGUAAAGCGAGCGCAGGCGGUUAGAAAAGUCUGAAGUGAAAGGCAGUGGCUCAACCAUUGUAGGCUUUGGAAACUGUUUAACUUGAGUGCAGAAGGGGAGAGUGGAAUUCCAUGUGUAGCGGUGAAAUGCGUGGAUAUAUGGAGGAACACCGGUGGCGAAAGCGGCUCUCUGGUCUGUAACUGACGCUGAGGCUCGAAAGCGUGGGGAGCGAACAGGAUUAGAUACCCUGGUAGUCCACGCCGUAAACGAUGAGUGCUAGGUGUUAGGUCCUUUCCGGGACUUAGUGCCGCAGCUAACGCAUUAAGCACUCCGCCUGGGGAGUACGACCGCAAGGUUGAAACUCAAAGGAAUUGACGGGGGCCCGCACAAGCGGUGGAGCAUGUGGUUUAAUUCGAAGCAACGCGAAGAACCUUACCAAG